GGUUCCGGUUCGAGUCCUCGCGAAAGCAGGAGUAGAUCAAUCCUAACAAUAAACGUUUGAAUACAUAUGUAUAAUUUUUAACGAUCAUUAUAAAUAUGAUUAUUAUUUUUACCCAUACGUAAAAUGAUAUUAUCAAAUCAUAAACAGGUAUACUGUCUAAAUAUAUAUAUGAAAAAGAAUAAAACAUGUGAUUAAAGAUGGAGGCUAAGGUGGUUAUUGUCCUAAGAUUUGACUUUGAUACAAAGAUAGUUUUUAAGAUAAGUUGUUUAAGUUCUCUGCCUUAAACUGAUGGCAUAGAUCUAUAUCUAGGCGAAUUAACAUGUGUCUAAGUAUCUGCAUGUAAUGAUCCUAAAUUGAUGCAUUAUAAAUAAUAACAUUUAUAAUGCAUAAGAUGAAUAAAAUGAAAUUAAGGUUCUGAAUGGAACUGAAAAUACUGAUCAAGUUUUUCUUCCGUUGAAUCUCUGUGGCUUCACGACUGGCUUUUCCCUGAAAUGUUUCAUCUCAGAAAUUCUACUCAACAUGAUGUUAUUUGUGGACUUGUUUUGAACAAUUCUAAUGAUGACUUUUUGGGCCAGUUAGUUAGUUAACUUUUCUACUACAACAAGAACAAAAUAGAAACUCAUACACAGCACUGAAAUAUAACUGAAUAAACCCAGUACAAAUGACACUAAACUAACCUGAUUUCAAAGAGUGGGUCUUCCCUGAUCUUGGCAGCCAGGUCCAGAUUGGAGGCCGGGGUUGCUGGGUUGAAGAUGGAACCGGGUAGGAGACCGGUCUCAGCUGAUGGACCGCUCUCUGGCUCCUCAUAUUGGUCAGUGAUCUGCUUGUCAAUGGAACGUCCAAGCAGAGACUCGUCCCUGGACACACUAAAAUACGACAUCAUUUAGCCACCAUUCUUGACAUAACCACGAAAAUAUUGUUCUUUAUGCUAUGUUUUAAAUUUAGAGGGACAACUAACUUGAUGGCUCCAGAGACCUCUGCAUAUCUUGUAAUUUCUUCUCUGGCUCUCGCUACGAUUUCCUUUUGAGGCGUGGCUGACCUACUUCCACUGAUGACGCUGGUGAUCAGUAACACCUGUGGCAGCUCAUCCUCACCUGCUCCUGAUGAGCUUCUUAAGCCUUUGUCGUCCCAGUCACCAGCGUCAGAUUGUUUUUGCUCUACCAGUGGUCACCACGUCUCCUGCUUCCCCGAGAGCUGCGGAUUCACCACAACCCACCUCGGCCGUUGGAACCUCCCCUGUCUCUAUUCACCAUCGUGAGUCUGUUCCUGCCAGCAUCCCCCCACUCACUGAGUCUCACCCUGGGCUCUCGCCAUUUCCCGGCACAGCUGCAUCGGCAGUAAACCUUGUUAAACCGUGAUCUGUCUCCUCUGCAUUGUCGGGUCCUCUUUGUAGUCAAACCACUCUCAUUAGAGAGUGUCUUAUUUCAGUAGUGCAAAUAAAAAUGAGCUAAUAAUGA